GAUGAACGCUGGCGGCGUGCCUAAUACAUGCAAGUCGAACGAGUUCUCGUUGAUGAUCGGUGCUUGCACCGAGAUUCAACAUGGAACGAGUGGCGGACGGGUGAGUAACACGUGGGUAACCUGCCCUUAAGUGGGGGAUAACAUUUGGAAACAGAUGCUAAUACCGCAUAGAUCCAAGAACCGCAUGGUUCUUGGCUGAAAGAUGGCGUAAGCUAUCGCUUUUGGAUGGACCCGCGGCGUAUUAGCUAGUUGGUGAGGUAAUGGCUCACCAAGGCGAUGAUACGUAGCCGAACUGAGAGGUUGAUCGGCCACAUUGGGACUGAGACACGGCCCAAACUCCUACGGGAGGCAGCAGUAGGGAAUCUUCCACAAUGGACGCAAGUCUGAUGGAGCAACGCCGCGUGAGUGAAGAAGGCUUUCGGGUCGUAAAACUCUGUUGUUGGAGAAGAAUGGUCGGCAGAGUAACUGUUGUCGGCGAGACGGUAUCCAACCAGAAAGCCAC
rnacentral:rRNA from 2 species